ACCUUACCAAAUCUUGACAUCCUUUGAAAACUCUAGAGAUAGAGUCUUCCCCUUCGGGGGACAAAGUGACAGGUGGUGCAUGGUUGUCGUCAGCUCGUGUCGUGAGAUGUUGGGUUAAGUCCCGCAACGAGCGCAACCCUUAAGCUUAGUUGCCAUCAUUAAGUUGGGCACUCUAGGUUGACUGCCGGUGACAAACCGGAGGAAGGUGGGGAUGACGUCAAAUCAUCAUGCCCCUUAUGAUUUGGGCUACACACGUGCUACAAUGGACAAUACAAAGGGCGGCUAAACCGCGAGGUCAUGCAAAUCCCAUAAAGUUGUUCUCAGUUCGGAUUGUAGUCUGCAACUCGACUACAUGAAGCUGGAAUCGCUGGUAAUCGUAGAUCAGCAUGCUACGGUGAAUACGUUCCCGGGUCUUGUACACACCG
rnacentral:rRNA from 1 species